rnacentral:rRNA from 1 species
AUUGAACGCUGGCGGCAGGCCUAACACAUGCAAGUCGAGCGGAUGAAGGGAGCUUGCUCCUGGAUUCAGCGGCGGACGGGUGAGUAAUGCCUAGGAAUCUGCCUGGUAGUGGGGGAUAACGUCCGGAAACGGGCGCUAAUACCGCAUACGUCCUGAGGGAGAAAGUGUGGGAUCUUCGGACCUCACGCUAUCAGAUGAGCCUAGGUCGGAUUAGCUAGUUGGUGGGGUAAAGGCCUACCAAGGCGACGAUCCGUAACUGGUCUGAGAGGAUGAUCAGUCACACUGGAACUGAGACACGGUCCAGACUCCUACGGGAGGCAGCAGUGGGGAAUAUUGGACAAAGGGCGCAAGCCUGAUCCAGCCAUGCCGCGUGUGUGAAGAAGGUCUUCGGAUUGUAAAGCACUUUAAGUUGGGAGGAAGGGCAGUAAGUUAAUACCUCGCUGUUUUGACGUUACCAAAAGAAUAAGCACCGGCUAACUUCGUG